rnacentral:lncRNA from 1 species
CUCAAACCGUGUUGUGUUAAAUUCCAAAAGCAAUAAAUCUCCAUCAUUCAUAUCCAUAGUUAUGUUGCCAGGCCAGAAAACUAAAUGUACAAUAUUGUAGAAACUUCCACUGUUUAGAAUAAAACCAAAACCAUGACAGACGUAAAUGCUCCCAUAACGAUUCACACCCAUGUUUCUUUCACCAUAAAUCCAAGCAUCCUAAUGUAGCAAGAGUUUCUUAUUUCUACAUGAGAUCACUGUAACACCUGUAGCAAAAUAGAUUGUAUUACAUCGGUCUUAUCCAGAUUGCUUUGGCAGCCAGUGCACCUAAUAAAUAAAUUUAUUCUCUUUGGAAGAUACAUUGCAUCAUAGACAGUGCUUCUGUAUGGGAGUAUUUUUUUUUUUUUUUGCAAAUUUGUGUGUUGUGGUUUUAUCUAAUGUGACUUUUCACUUGACCCCAUCUGCUACUCAUAGUUGUUGCAACAUUCCAAACUUGAGGGAUGGGGGUGCCUGAGAGAUUGAGGGAAUCCAAGUGGCAUCCUUCCUUCCUACCUUGUUGUCUCUGGCAUCCAUUUCAACUAGCUAGUCACAUUCAGGGUCCCCUCUCUCUCUCUCUCUCUCCCUCCCCCUUUCGUAAUCUUCGUGGUCCAUUCUGGUUUUGUGUGCGUGUACCCAGAUCGAUGUUUAUCCUCUUUUUGAAAAUGACUGUUAGUUGUUGAGACCUUGUGGUGAUGAUAAAGCCUUUGCGUGUUGGCUCUCCAUUUCCAGAAGCAUCAGUGACUUCUGCCUCUGGUAUCUGUUCCUCUUUGCUGCUAUUGCUGUUCGAAAAAACAAACACACACAGUUCAGGAGUUGUGAGUGUGAUAUGAUAUGAUAUGCUUUAAACAUAAAACAACGUUCAUCAUAACGAGCUUCUAGAUGAUAUCUCUCAGCACAUUUAGUUACAAUCGAGGAGGUUGAUGAUUCGCUCUAUUCUAACGUUCUAGUACAGACCUCAAACUGAAAAUGUACACUUGCACUGCCGAGAACCUGUUGGCGAAUGAGCGUAAUAGGAAAUUUUGACUACCUUUUUACAUAUUAAGAUGAAAGACCGGACAAGUCGCUAACAGUCAAAGACAAUGCUGAUCCUGAAUCAUAUAUACUUAACAAUAUUCAAAUCAAGCAAGGGUUUUAAGUAUGGCAGGUGCCAGCCAGUCCCAUAAAGGAAGAGAAGGCCUUGCACCAAAACAUAUUGUAUUUGUAGUAUUUGCGAUUUGGGGAGGCAUUGUUGCUUUCAGGAAUGGCCGGACUAAGUAUGCUUCUAUAAUUAAAUGUUCUGCAAGUUAUCUUCACUGAAAAUGAAAGAAUUUAAUCUAUUUCGUCUUCCAGAGAGUACCUAACCAACAAAUCUACUUACUUAGCAUGCACGAUAAGAAUGAUUGCUUGUUCAAAUGUUCCAUAUUAUAGAAAUUUACUUCGGAAUUAUAUGAAAUACUUACACGUUAGAUCAUGAGAAGGAGCAAAAUCGUAGUCAUGACUACCCCUUCUGAUGCAACAGACAUAGACCACGAACAGAGUCACCAAAAAUACCAGCACGGAUGAUAUGGCUAUACCAAUAAUUCCACCUUUGGAUAAAUGACCAUUAUCCCAAAGUAGGGAGCAGUCAGGUAAUGAAGGUACACCGCACAAACCUUUGUUACCCGAAAGGCUGCAAAAUAUAGGCCCUCCAUUAGCUUAAGCAAUCAAACAUCAAUUCCAAUAGGAUAAAACCUUUAUCCAAUCUCAAAGAUAACAAGGAAACAUGAGAGAAAUCAUUCCAUAAAACCGAGCACGGUAUACUGGUUAGGUCAGUACAACUGCUCAGGAUUAUGAGUAAUAAUGCAUAGGAGGAGCAUCAUAUUGCACAAUCUCCGUCAGAUGUGAUAGUAAAUUUAACAGCAACAAAAAACUAGCCAUCUUUCGAACAAGUCACUUCAUGCUGGAAGUCGAGAAACCUAACCACUAAACUGCACUUAAAUUAUAUUCAGAAUUGAAAACACUCAGCAGCACAGGCAUGCUUGUAUAGGUUGGUGAAUUGAACUCCUUGCUUGGGUGGAUUUGCAGAGUCCAAAAAAGUGAACAUAUUAUGCUUCAUUGGCAAAGCUAAUGUGUAUUAAAUGAUUCUCAACGAGAAAAAAGUAGGCCAAAAUACUGUAAGGAGAAUAUGGUAAACAUAAAAGGCCUUUGUGUACAAUCAGCUAACCAACAUUUGACUGAAAUAUUAUAGUUGUGCAACAUCCUUACAGAAUUAGAUCAGGUUUGGAAUUUAUAUGGAAUAUUUCAGUUUACUUGUAUGGUGAGCUUAAGACUUUUGCUUUUUCCGCAACUAUUUAUUACUCUCUUUUGAGAAGUUUGCCAGACAAAUCAACAGUAUGGACAUGAAGAAUAGAAGACCAUAAAUCCUACCAUCUGGAUACAAACUGUUGAACCCUUAGUGACCCACUUGAAUUUGUGUAAACAAUUACUGACAUAAGAAUCUAAUGGAAGAAAAGACAUGUUCAAAUACCAUAAUCUCUCUCCCAUAGAAGGGAAAGGGAUGCUAUCAUAUUCUCAAAAACAAUUCAGACAAAGAAUCGACUUUAAUAUGUUCUGCAUAGUGAGUGACAUUUUAAAGCUUAUAAAGGUUUGAUAUCAAAGCAUGUAGAUACAGCUUCUGAUUUGAAUUUCUCAAGAAAAAUACAACUGUACAGCAUUUUGUAGCAGCUUGCAGAAAGACUUACUUGAUGGAUCCACCAUGCAUACCAAUGGAAUAAAGUUCUUCUGGGACUCGGCCUUCUAAUAAGUUAUCAUUCAAGAACCUAUAGCAAGAGUUAUGAGGUCAAACCCAUAGCGAAAGAAAUCCAAAAAAUCCAGAAGGAAAGAGAUAUUUAAUGAACUAAAGAGUUGAUACUAUAAACAUUUUUCUUGGUGACUUACUAUGUAAAACAAAGAAAGAGUACUAGAUAGUGUUUCGGCCCGUUGGCCGACUUCAUAUUUUCCUUUCUAACUUUACUACUGAUAACCUAAAUAAAUAAGCUGACAAUUUUUUGGCCCACUGGCAGAUUUGAAAAUUCUCUUUUAACGUACUAUUGAGAACAUAAAUAAUUCAACUGAAUCGUAAAUAAUUAUCAAUAAGUGCUGAAGUUUUUCGAAACUAAGAACAAUAGUUUAAAUAUUUUUUAUAAUCAACAAAAAAUUCAAAUUACUAAAUGGUCUGUCGGUCGGUUUAUGCUAACUUUAAUCUUUAAUGUGUUUAAACUUUACUUGGAAAAAAAAACUCUUCUUAAAUAUAAAGAGAAGCCUCCAAAGACGUAUGUGGAAAACUUUAUUCCUUAUUUUUCUAUAUAUAAUUGUAGAGAAAUAGCCUUUGUAUAUAUGGGUUCAGAAAGGAGCGCGUCGAAUUACAUUUCUUCACGGAAUGAAGCCACUUAAGAUUAAUGAGUCAUGUAGGCUAAAGCAACAUUUUAAAUUAACUUCAAACUGUCAGCAAGACAAUGAAUGCAUCUACUCAGAAGAAAAGGUAAGAGUGCAAUGUAUAAUUGUCCACGCCAUAUGCCAGGACAACAAAAAAUUUAUAGUGCAGACAAAUUGUGUCUGUGAAGCAUGCACUUCAACGAACAACAGAGUAUUGCAAUUUAUAAGUAUAGCAGAAGCCCGGUUGAGCUUCAGGUCCAUGGAAACAAAGGCUGAUUUUAUGAACUAUUAAACAUCACUAGCAUGUAGAAAAAUAUGAAAUUGCCAAAUGAGAAGACUACUUACAUUAAUUGUAGACUUGACGAAGUUAAACUUUCUGGUAUAGGACCUGAAAACUGAUUGCCUGAUAAAUCCCUACAUUAUAAACCGAAAUUAUAAGACCCUUGCAGAACAAACGGAUAAAAAGAUACCCAUGCUUCGUAUAGUACUAUAUGCUUUCAAAGCUGUGAGUACACAUUAAAUAACUUAUCUGGUAAUACCACAGAGUAGAGUUAUGUUCAUCAAUUAUACGAUGAAGCCCCCAAAAUGGAAAAUAACGACUAGGUAGGGAAUAGGAAGAACUAAACAAUUGUUACGAGACUGUAGUAUCAAAAGAAAGAAAAAAGACACUUCAAUCGGAACAUAAACUGUAUGCUACUUACAGCCGUAUGAGAGACUUUUGACCAAGCCCCUCUGGUAGUGUUCCUCCCAAUGAAUUGCCACUCAAAUUCCUGCAAAUUUUAAGAUCAUUUGUUAUGCUAUUUGAGAUACCUCACAUGCAGAUAUACAGUUCACGUGCAAAAUGAAAUUCCCAGCAAAAGCAGAGUCUAAGAUCUGCUUCUACCAUAAACUCUCAGGCAUUAGAUUCGAUGAUAGUUUAUUGGUCUUUUGUCAUUCAGCACAUCAACCAUUUAAGGCAUAUAAACAGCAUGUCAGAUUUUAACUAACAAACACGCACCUAUUUGUCGGAAUCGUGAUGGAGGGGAAGGUCAGUACAAAUGAUCAUGGCCGGAAAAGACAGCAGGACAUUGAGAUAAGAUUUCAAAGUAUGUUCUCAAGUUUAAGCCUUUAUGUCAAAAACAAACCAGAAUGUGGGUUGCAGAUACUUACAGGCUUACCAGAUUCGUGAGCAGAUUUAUUUGAUCACUUACAAACCCUUUCAGGCCUUGACUUCCAAGAUCUCUGGAUUUCAAAUGAAAAAGGUAAGUGAAACAUAUACAAGCAUGAGAGUCAAAUGACACUUUGAAUAAACCUCAGUUUUGAAAAAGAGAGCGAUGUAGUGGAGAAAAAAACUCUCUACUGAAUAUGUCUUGGGAAGGACAUAACAACUCUGUUAAGACCAUGAUCAUAUUCACGGGUUUCACGGAGUAAGAAAAUAUUUACAUUUGCGAUAUAACAAGGGCGGAUUCGUUUUUGUUGGGAUGGCAAGUAACCCCUUCCCAAGCAUCCCAAUUAGUAGGAGCACAGGGAUCACCAUUCCAACCCAUUCUGUCCGGAAUACGAAGUGAGUUUUUCAACGCUUUCAUAGCAACCACUGCAAAUACAAUACUUGGUCAGUGAACCAAAUUCGAAAACAAGAAAAGCCUCAACAUUAACCUAUAUAGAAACUUAAUCAUGCAUGGCCUCUCUCAAGCAAAGGCAGAGCUCAACCGUACAUUCUUUUUCAGCUACCAAACAAAGCCAGAUUACUUGAGCAGCAUGAAUUUUCCAUUUCAGGGAAGAAAAAAAAACCAAAGUAGACUUAACGACAACAUUCAGUAAUUAGAAUUCAAUUAUAAGAUCAAAGAAAGAAGAUACCUUGCUCCGGUACAGUUGCCAUAUCAUUAGGAACUAGAGCGUAAUUCUCAAUCCCACUGAUCAAAGGAAAGCCAGCUAACGGCACUAGCUUCACGCUCAAAGUAGUACUGCUCAAGUUAUGCACUGUGUAGCUAAAACUGUAAGCAGCGAAGUUACCAACUUGGGCAAAUAUGUCAACUCUACUGGCAUUCUUUUCAUUGACCAGGACAUCAAACACACGCUGUCCUUUCUUACUGACGCUGGACUCAAUCUCAGCGAAGUGAAACCACAACAAGUAAUCAAGCUUGGCGUCAACCUCAAUCUCAUACUCCAGUACUCCCUUACCGGUAACGGCCGACUGAUAAAGCUUCAUCGGGAAGUAAUUUGGGGGCUGAUUGACCCCUGAAAUAGACUUGGUGGUGGAGAUGGCUUGGACGAUUUUGGACAUGCUGGGGGUUCGGAGUUCUUCAUCGGACUGCCAGGUUCUGCCGAAGUAAUCAGUGUCGUUGCUGAAGCCAGGCCCCCACUGACCGGAGCCGCAGGACAGUCGGCCAUAGUUGACCAAGAUGAAAUUUUCUCCGAGGGAGGAAGAUGAGUAAGACAACGGAUCGAUCUGGCGGACUUCAAGUGAGCCGAUGACGGGAGGAUCGGUGGCUAUACUGUAGAAGCAUAAAUCGGCCUCGCCGUCUUUGACGAAGGCGAAGAGAUCGGAGUAGGCGCCGUCGCGGGCGAGGGAUUCGUGCCAGGGGGAGCGCCAGGAGAAGACGAGAGUGCCUUCUACGGAGGCAUCGAAGCUAGGGGAGUGGGACUUGCCGUCAUAGUUGUCGUAGAUGGUGAAGGUGCGGAAGUAGUAGCGGCCGGAAGGGAGAGGGAGAAUGUAGCAGUUCUUCUUGCCGGAGGAGAGAGGGAAGUAGCGGAGGGUCUUCUCCUGAGGGUGGCGGAAGCGGAGGGGCUCGGAGACGACGGAGGAGGAUCCGCCGGUGAAGAAGCGGUCAGAGAGCCAAUUGGAGUUGAAGAGGUCGGUGACGUUGGUAGGUCCGCCGGAGUCAAUGCGGUAGGAAAUAUCUGGAGACAGAAAACAAACAAAGAAAGAUUAAAAAGGACAGAGAAGAGUAGAAAGCAAGAGCUGAGCUAGCUACUAGAAUUUGAAUUGAAAAUUGAAGUAAGGAGAAGUACCGAAAGGGAAAGAAGAAGAUGAAAGAGCAGAUUGGGAGGAAGAGAAGAAGAAGAGGAGGAACAGGAGAAGAAGGCGAUGAUGCAUGGUGGUUGUGGUAAUUGGGUGAAGUGAAAUGGAUGAUGAAAUGGGGAAGUUUGCUGAAAGGGAAUUGAAUUGAGGUACAGUACAGAGUAGGAAGGAAAGGAAGUAAAUACAGAGAAAGAGAGGAGAAGAAGAAGUAGGAAAAGUAGAAGAAGAAAAAAGGAAAGUGGGAAAAGGAUGAUUGUGAGGCGAGAUUAGCGGUUGGAAUUUGAUACUGCGAAUUUGGGAGACGAGCUGCAGAAUACGACUCUAUGAUGCUCUGAUUAUUUUACUGAGGAGGGUAGUUGUCACUUUCAAAGUAGUUCUGAUUCAAACAAAAUGUUACAGAGAUGGGAAGUGAGUGUAUGCAGAGAGCUUAAUGGAGGGUUGAACAGCGCGGUGAGGAAGAUGACAUCUUUCGAUUAAUGAGCAGAGCAGGGGAAGGUGUUGUUUGAUUUCCAAAUCUGGUGUUGGUGGGAAUCUAAGGCAAAUGGAGAAAGAAGAGAUAUGAGAAUCAAUUUUCUUUUUGGUAGAUCCAAUCCAAAGAGAGGAAAUAAUAAAAUGUUGUUUUUCCAACCUCUUUUGUAGAUUUCUAAUUUUCAAAAGAAAAUAACUUUUUAAAUAUCGGAUCUAGAGGGGGAAUUCAAUUUUCAAUUAUAUGUCAAAUCAAGUAUUUGCAUUUGUAAGUCCCAAGCCCUGACGUUACGAUUACCCUCUCCUUUCUUCCGUAGGAGCGCCAUCCGAAGCUCCGAAGCUCCGAAGCAACCCCAUGCCAUCGAAAUCGGCGCUAAAACCCUCUGGAAACCAUGCUACAUCGGCGCACGCCUAGCAGGCUUCGGGCUCAGGAGAAACGACCACCCACGUUCACUCUUCAGCAGCGGUUAGUCCGACUCCCAUGCUACAGGCGGACCCCCAGCGGUUCUCGCCUAUCCGCAUAAGCAAAAAUGGGGGUUGCGGCCAUCUCACGGCCCCGACAACGAUUGGUCCCUGCCCUCAAGAGCUCAGCAGCUGGAGUCUCGUUAGUCUCGGUCUAGACUUUUUUCUUGCAUCUUCUCUCGAACUUUUGAUUUUUCUGAAGUUUGUUGUCCCUUUUUUAGACUUUAUUUGGAGUCAAUUCGAGGCAUGGAUAGGCCGGCGUAAAUACUAGUGUCUCACAUGCCUAGUAGGUACGAAUCUGUUUGUGUCUAGUGUUCUUGAGAAAUAUGACAUGGUAUUAAGGAGUGUUAUGACGUGGUGUAAAUGAUUGUUUCUGAUCAUUACAACCCUUUGUAGUCCGCUAUAAACUUAUAUGAUUGACCUAAUGAAUUCGGUAAAAUGAAGUAGAAUGACGGAGAAUUUGUUUCCAAGAUAAUGACUUUCAAGACAUUUAUAACAACGUGCUAAAAAAAGAUAACUAUGCUAUUAUAAAAAAGAUUGUUUGUUUUUGGUAAGAAUUGCAUGAUUUGUUUGUGUUGAGCUCUAAGCGAAAUAGUAAGGGGGAUUUGGUUAUGAUCAUUAGUAACUCUCUAUUCAUAAAAGUGUGUUAUUUUUAAAUGUGAUGAGAAAAAAAUAUGGUCAAUUAAGAGAUAACAAAAACGAAUAUAUAAGUUGAUAAAUAAUAAAUUUUUUGUGUGGAUAAUCAUGAAAAAAAUAAAAAUAGGAGUCUCAUAAAUAAGCGUAACCUUAUUAGUCAAAAGUCAACUCUCAUAAGGUCCGUUAAUAUAGAUUGUGAUUAUAUUCGUUAGAUCGGCUAUCCUAUAUGAUUAUUGUGUUCAAAUUCACAAUUAGAUUAUAUAUAUAUACAUACCGGUGGUCUUAUAACACAAGUUUUAUACUCAUGUACACAUAUUCUCACUCAGUACACAUCAAUAUACACACUCUGUGUACCCGAGUAUCCAGUCCAACAGUGUAUGAAUACAACAAGUACUAGACAGUAGACACGAUACUUGUUUUCUGUACAAAUACACAGUAAUAAAUUUUCAUUUUUAACCCUGAAACGGUGAAACUUUAAUCCGUAAUAAAUUUUCAUAUUUGACCCUGAAACGGUGAAACUUGAAGUAGUUAGAUCUGACGGUUGAUGGGGUGCCAUCAAGGAUUUCAUCUCGGUGUAAUAAUCGGGAGUCAUGUUAACUUGUCCAGGUAAAGUACGUCUGACUUUGACAAAUGAGCAUACGUUAAAUAAAUAAAUGGAAUGUUUAUGAAUUCGUGGUAAUAAAAUUAAUACCAAUUCUCACCGGUGCCACCGCUGGUCACUGCGGGAUCAACGCGAUCGCAUUUAAUUAUUAAAAUCACUGUCUUUACUUAAUCAAAUCCCAAACUCAGUAAAAGGACGCGCCUUCGCCAGCCUGUCUUUCCCUCUUUCUCCCUCUCAUCAUUAUGGGCCCCACUUUCCAACUGUGAAAUUCUCAACCUACCCCUUUUCUGUUUUCUCCACUCUCACACACUCCUAAACUUCCCUUCUUAUCUGCUGCACCUCUUUCACUCCCUUCUCGCCUUCUCCCCUCGUCACAGCUAAACCCUCCUCUCUUUCUCCACCGUCAGCGAUGACAUUUCGGCUCCUCUUACUCCUUCUUUUCAUAAUCGCCACCGCUGCAACAUCAGUCGUCAAUGCCGCCAAAGCCUUCCACCGCGAGCUUCCUGCGUUCAGAGAAGCGCCUGCGUUCCGGAACGGCAGGGGAUGCCCCAGAAUGGUGUGGUCCUCGUCAAUCUCCGGCGGCCAGUUUCCCAACCGCCACGAUCCAUCGGUCAUUCACAUCGCCAUGACACUCGACGCCACCUACCUCCGCGGCUCCGUCGCCGGUGUGUUUUCCGUCCUCCAGCACGCCUCCUGUCCGGAGAACAUCGUCUUCCACUUCAUCUCCACGCACCGCCGAUCCGAGCUCUACCGUACAAUCUCCAACACGUUCCCCUACCUGAGGUUCAACCUCUACCACUUCGACUCGAAUCUGGUGAAAGGCAAGAUCUCGUCCUCCGUCCGCCGAGCUCUCGAUCAGCCUCUAAACUACGCCAGGAUUUACCUCGCGGAUCUACUGCCGUCCACAGUGCGCAGGAUAAUCUACUUCGAUUCCGAUCUGGUGGUGGUUGAUGACGUGGCGAAGCUUUGGGGGAUCAAUUUAGGUGCGCAAGUGCUGGGUGCGCCAGAGUACUGCUACGCAAACUUCACCACCUACUUCAACGACCGAUUCUGGUCGAAUCCAGAGUACGCGUCGUCGUUUAAAGGGCGGAGGCCGUGCUAUUUCAACACGGGAGUGAUGGUGAUCGAUCUGUGGAAGUGGAGGGACGGAAAGUACACGGAGAAGCUGGAAGUGUGGAUGAGAAUCCAGAAGAAGGAGAGGAUCUACGAGCUAGGUUCGCUUCCGCCGUUUCUGCUUGUGUUCGCUGGAAACGUGGAAGGGGUUGAGCACAGGUGGAACCAGCACGGGCUAGGCGGGGACAAUCUGCAAGGUCUGUGUAGGGAUCUGCACCCCGGUCCGGUGAGUCUUCUGCACUGGAGCGGGAAGGGGAAGCCGUGGCUGAGAUUGGACGGGAAGAGGCCGUGUCCGUUGGAUUCUCUGUGGGCGCCGUAUGAUCUCUAUCAUCAGUCCUUCUUCGCUGAUAGCUAGCUGUUUGGGAAGCGGGAAAUACGGAGAGAAAAUCGUGGAAUGUCGUUGAUGAAGGAGGAUGAAUCGGAAGAAAGAUCUAUCCCCCCCGGUUGUUCGUUCCGUUUAGUUUGACUGACUGACUGAUUGAUUGGUUAGUUAAUUAAAUGAGCGGGAACGGGGCCGGCCGGCGCAUGCAAGCAAAAGACCGGCGAGAUAUGCGGUCAAGAUGGUGGAACAGUGAAGUGUGCGAGUGAUGACGGAGGCAAAUUUGUGAGUCGGUGGAAUGGCGACGAAAUUCAACUGACGACGUUGAAUUAAGUCCCCUUAGCUUGGUGGAUGGAGACAGAAAUAUGACGAGGGAAAGAGAGGAAUAGUUUGUAAAUAAAAGUUUACAAUGUCGGGAAUAGAGUAUGCCAUAGUACAGUAGAGUAGUAUACCCAUUACAUUACCCAUCAGUUCUGCGUUCAAAAAUACAAUCAGGUUGUUUAUGUGAAAUUGCAGAAUUGGUGUUUCCACUCCACCACUUACAACUUUGACGUUGUUGAUCUCCGUGAGCAUAUAUUUUCGCUGAUCCCCAGUGUGCUAUAUGCUGGCUAUGCCAGUCCAAGGGCAAGUGUGGGUGGGUGGAUACUGGGUCACCAAAAUACAACAAUCAAUAAUGCACCUUUAAUCCCCUUUUGGAGAAUGUAUAUAAUAAUAAUAAUAAAGGAAUCCAGAAAGACGCAUAAGCAACAAACCAAAAAAGACAAAGUGUACCCGGUAGCUCACGGGUCAUCAGGUUAAUGUUUACACAAGAUGCCAGAAGCUGAAUGAGCCAAACUCACACUCACGAGAUUGCAUUAUUAUUAUGUUGUAAUCAUGCAUAAUCCACUCAUGACUCACCUAUCUAAUCCUUUCUGUUUCCACCUACCACUCUCUGGUUUCAUCAAUCAACAAUGCAUUUUGGUUUAUUUGCACUUCAUCUCAAGACUGACUGCGUAUGUAUACUGAAAAUAGUGGGAAUAGCUCGUCCAAUGAAAUUUGAGUAUUGGGGUAAGGUGUCAGUGCAGUGCAGCCAUAUGCAGUACGAUCCGUAUAUAUCAGAAGUCAAAACUGAACCGGACAGGUCGUAUUUGUCAUUGUGCAACUUUGAACCUCUCGCUUCACCAAUGACUGUUUUUUUCCCGAUGUUAUUAGGAUAUUUGUUGUUGAUAGUAAUAAUCAAUUUCUUUCGUCAUGGAUACAAAUAGUAACGAUUUAUUAAAGAAGUACUUUAUUUUCGUGAAAAAAUAUCAAACUCCUAACGGGAGGAGGGAGAACGCGUAUACGUGUUCUUCCCGUUGCGUGUCAUUCUUCAGUUUCAAUCCACUGAAGCUCCAUUGCUGUCCACAAAAAAUAUUUCUCAGAACCGUCACAUUAUCAUGAUCUGAAAAAUGACGAAAAUUUCAAAGCCAAAAUUGUAUUCACACAAAAAUUCCCAGAAACUGCUGGUGGGGAAGUUUAAACUGCAUCAUAGUGACUAACCGAAGAAUAUAAAUUUUAAUUUUUGUCUUGAUAUUUCUUCAUCCGUUCGUCUGAUUGAAGCACAGUCAUGGCUACCAUGGCUUCCGGCGGAGUAACCGCCGGAGUUGUACCGUCUAAACUCCAUCCCUGCAAACCCAAUAAGCUCCUCCAUUCUCCGUUUCUGGGCCAAAAUCAGCUCAACCUCACCAAACACAAUUCUAGAAGAGCAAAGCUCAGAGUUUCUGCAUCACUGGAAGCAAGUCACGAAUUGGUCAAUCUGGUUCACAAUUUCUUCGUUGGUGUUGGGGUUGGGCUGCCCUGCACAGUGAUGGAGUGUGGUGAUAUCAUUUACAGAAGCACUCUGCCGAAAUCCAAUGCUCUGACCCUCACAGUUCCAGGAGUUGCUCUGGCUCUCAGCGUCGUGUCUUACCUUUGGGCCACCCCUGGAGUAGCUCCGGGUUUCUUCGAUAUGUUUGUCCUUGCUUUCGUCGAACGAUUGUUUCGAACCAGUUACAGAAAGGUCAGCUAUCGGUUUGCUUCAUUCUAUCUUGAUGUUUUUGUAUUGUUUUUGUAUUGGUUUUGAUUGUGGUGAGUGGUGAUUGGUUGGUUUCAGGACAAUAUUGUUUUGGGGAAGAAGUUGGGUGAAGGAGCUUUUGGAGUCGUCUAUAAAGUUUCGGUGGAUAAGCCUGCUUCCAAGAAGGUAGUGUCCUCCAGCUGUUUGAUGAAAUUCCUCUGUGGAAACCUUAGUUGAGAAAUUUGCUUAAUGUUUGCUUGUUGUUCUGACAGAAGGGAGGUGAACUUGUGUUGAAAAAGGCUACUGAAUAUGGAGCUGUGGAAAUUUGGAUGAAUGAACGUGUUCGAAGAGCUUGUGCUAGCAGUUGUGCUGAGUAUUUGUAUGGAUUUCUUGAGGUGUUUCUCUCUUCACAGCAGCUAACUAUUACUAUCACUGUGAAACUGUGAUAUGAGAUUGAUCAGUUACUCUCAUUAACGUAAGUUUGUUAGCUUUUGAUUCAUGCUUGACCACUUGAACUCUUACUUCCUCAGAACUCUUCAAAGAAAGGAAGUGAGUAUUGGCUUCUAUGGAAGUUUGAAGGGGAGGCCACUCUCUAUGAUUUAAUGCAGAGCAGAGAGUUCCCUUACAACGUUAGUACACUCUUUCAGUUACCUGUAAUAUGAACUUAUAAUGGUUCCUCAAAAAGUGCGGUUCUAUGAUGAAUAUUAUAUCUGAUGAUAUUGUCAGCUGGAUGCUUGGUAGUUGUGUAUUUUCCUACAAGUGAUCAACUCCAGAAUUCCUAAAUUUGAACAGGUUGAGACAUUGAUUCUAGGCAAGGUUCAGGAUUUACCGAAAGGGCUGGAAAGGGAAAGUAGAAUUAUCCAAACUAUAAUGAGUCAGCUCUUAUUUUCCCUAGAUGGGCAGCAGAUUUGCGAGUGGGAAUUAACUAUAUUCCGAAUGAGUUCCUUUUGGAUCCCAGGUAUUUUGCGUUUUUAACCAUAUCCAGGACACAUAAUCUCAGAUAUCAUAUAUAGAAAGAUGUCUCAAGUUUCCAGCAAUGAAGAAACCAGCUUAUCAAGUUACAGUGUAUAAUUUGCAUUGAGGUUUAGUUCUUACAAUUUGCAUACUGUUGUCAUGUGAGUACUUGAACAUCUUUAUCGCAAGGGCUUCCAUGAACAUGUAUGAAUACAUCGAACCAGAAUCAUCCAUAUAAUCACCACUGCUCUGUGUCUGAAUACGAGCAGCUCUUCAUCGGCACUUGCAAUUGCUUUAUAAUUUUCACGUGGAUCGACAUCACCCACCACAAUCUUUCCUUUUAGCAUUUAGAUUUGUUUUUUUUUGUUACUGUGAUAUUAAUUUUGGUUUUGGUUUUGCUUUUCCUGCCUUUGAGGUAUGCUGCUCCAGAACAAUACAUCAUGAGCACGCAGACUCCAUCUGCACCAUCUGCUCCCGUAGCUACUGCACUUUCCCCAGUGUUAUGGCAGGUUUAACUCCCAAGAACAAUCACCAAAAUUCAAAUGAAGAGAAACGUGAAUGAGAUUCCUUAUCCUGAACCCAGAAAUUACUCUUCUCCUUGGUUUUGAUCCAUUCUUAUAUGCAGCUAAAUUUGCCUGACAGAUUCGACAUUUACAGCGCCGGUUUAAUCUUUCUACAAAUGGUAAGAUAAAUUGCUCCUGCUCAACACUGUUGAAGUGGCCAAGUAUUUCGUAAUCACGAUUGAGGCAAGAAAUGUUUUUGAUCCUAUUACAGGCCUUUCCUGGACUAAAAACAGACAGCAAUCUCAUACAGUUCAACCGUCAACUGAAAAGAUGCGACUAUGACUUGGUUGCAUGGAGGAAGAGUGCCGAGCCCCGGGCCUCACAAGAACUAAGGAAGGGCUUUGAGCUACUCGAUUUAGACGGCGGGAUCGGAUGGCAACUUCUCACCUCAAUGGUACGAUACAAAGCACGACAAAGAAUAAGCGCCAAGGGAGCUUUAGCCCAUCCUUACUUCGACAAAGAAGGGCUGUUAGCUUUGUCAGUUAUGCAGAACUUAAGGAUGCAACUCAUUCGAGCUACACAACAGGAUUAUGGCGAAGCUGCCAACUGGAUCAUUCAGCUAAUGGCAAAAUCAGGAACAGAAAAAGAAGGUGGCUUCACUGAAGCCCAGCUUCUGGAACUCAGAGUAUGCCUAUGAAGAACCUCCCAUUAAUCUCCUGUUCCGUUGAAGACUGGUUUUGUUUAAUGAAUCUGUUAACAUGUUUUUAAGUGUUGAGAAUCUACUUUUGGGAUUCAUUUUUGUUUUUAUUGUUUGCAGGAAAGGCAAGAGCCUGUGAAGAAACCAGUUGCGCAAAGGAAUGCUCUAGCGUCAGCUCUUAGGCUGCAGAGGAAGCUUGUGAAGACAUUGAAUCAAAGCAUGGACGAUCUGAACCAACGCAGAAAGAGUAUAUGGUGGAGCAGGUGGAUCCCAAGAGAGGAAUGAACCAAGUACGUGAUGUACAUACAUAAUAAUUCUCUUUUCCUCUUCUUCUUCUUUACUUUCUCUACCUGUAAAUUGUGUUAUUUCUCCCUGUUAGUAAAAAAAGUAUCGAUAGAGAAGAGACGUUGAAUUGAAUAUAUGUAACUAUGUAAGAAAUUAGCUGGAAUCUAAGGGGAGACAUACCUGGGGCUGGAAUGCACGUGUAUUAACUCCUAUGCUGUUUCAUCAUUAUCAAUGACAUUGGGGGAGGAGUAACGAACGUGAAACAGCUCCGAAUUGAAGUAUUUCUUAAAAAAUCUCUCGACAAUGCCAAUUAAUAAUUAUUACAUCGAAAUUUGGUCGACAACGAAUCACGCUGGUGUUUUCUUUCUUUCUAUGAUGAUGCUUCAAACUCACAUAUGCAUGGUUGCAUGAGUAAUUAGGUGACAUGUUAUUCAUUAAGUUUUCUUUGAAGAAACAAGACAGACACAUCCAAUGAAAAUGAUAGUCUGGUUUGGCACAACAUAUAUGUUCCAUAAGCACAUUAUUGAUUGAUUAUCGAUUACUAACGGAAUAAUAUAACGCUUACAAACCAAUUUGAAUUCUCUCGCAAUAACUCUAGUUAUUCGGAUGCAAUAAUUUAUGGCCAUGUGGCCUUUAAAGACCGGUAGAUUAGGCUUUGUUGCGGUUUGGUUUAAUUUGUUGGCUGGGUUCCACGUUGGAUGUUGUUUCGGGUUCUUUUUCCGGGUGGAUCUGCUCCUGGCCAAUCGUUGGGGGCUGAUCACUUGGUUUCUGAGGGUCCUUUUGCUGGCUGCUUCUGUUUUUGUUGGGGGUGCUGUGUACCUUGCUAGGGUAACCUCUCUUGUACAACAGUGUAAGUUCUUUAAUUUUUGGGAUUAGUAGAAAGGGUAUACUCCAUCGAUAAUAUAAACGAUUGAGAGGUUUUCGUUUUGAAUCCUGGUAAUUCUGAAUUCGUGCACCUGAAGCUAUGCAAACUUUAACUCGAGCUUUCGUUUUGAGGAAAGAUGUGUUGAUGAAUAAUAUAAAAGUCAAUUUGAACUUCUCACAAUAAUUACCAGAGUUAUUGGAAUGCAACGGUUGAUGACAAAAAUAUCCGUAACUUCCCUCACUGAAGUUCUUAAGUUGCAUAAUGUAGACGGGAUAGACUCCGAUUAGCAGGUCUGACACUGAAUCACGUUGGCUCCAAUUUACAUGAACAAAUUCUGGUAUAGUAGUUCAAACUCAGUUCAUGGAAUUAUAACAGAUCUAUUGAACCAGGUGCGCGGUGGAUUAAUCUUCUAAAGAUGAGUUGGUAAUCUCUUCUAGUGGCCGAGUUACGUGCCUCGUACGUAGGUACGUACUCUCAUAAUAGUUAAUGAUGCACACGUCCGUACGGGAGCUAGCAAACAAAUCUAUGAGGUUACGAUGUUGGUAUCGGGAAUGAGGAGGAGGAGCUGAGGAGCAAAACAAGGAAUAUGGUUUCACAAACGACAAAUACAAAUCUCUAACUUAUUAUUAUUAUUAUUAUUAUUGAAUUCAUGGUUGAAGUUGAAGAUGAAGUUACGGAAAUUGCUGUCUAGUACGUAAUCCAGGAUACAACAUUCCAUGUCUUCGGCACUGCAUGCAUGCCCAUGUCUACACGACCACUUAUUUAUCCUCGUUUGCAUGGGUGAUUUCAACUUAUUUUUAAGAUUAAAAUAUUCUUAAUUAUAAAAAAUACUCCACGCAGUCCGUUUUAAUUAACAUAGUCUAUUUUUACUUUGUACAAUCCGUUUUUAUUUCAUGCAGUCCGUUUUUACUCAUUACAAUUCAUUUUUAUAAUAUUCACAAGAUAUAUUUAUUUAUCAUUUAUGUAAAAAAUAAAAAUUAUAAAUAAACAUUUUAAAAGAAAUACUUUUUUUAAUAUACCGAAGAUAUAUAUAUAUAUUAUUUAUCUAUAGUGUUUGUAAAUAUUUUUUAAGAAUAUGUUAAUUUUUGUAAGAGUACUUGGUAAAUAAUAUUUAUUUAGCUCCAUUUUUUUAUUUAUAACUUAUAAAAUGUUUAUUUAUAGAAAAAGGACCAAUAUUAAUAAAAACAAAUGGCAGAAAGUAAACGGAUUGAAUUUGUAAUUUUUCAGUAUAAAAAUUCAUUUACGAUAAAAUACGGAUUACACAAAGUAAAAUACGAACAAUAUAUAGCUAUCGUCCUAAUUUUAUUGUUAACUCCUACGUGCAUGUAAGGCGUACAUUCAUUAACCACUUUCUAAUUAUGCACACCACGUACGUACAGCUCAGUAUUCUGGAUUAAUCUAAUCUAGUAGUAAUUAAUAUAAUGGUGGGUUAAGCUUUAGCUGUCAAACUUAAUUAGUGGUCCAAUACGGCCAAUUCAAGCAAAGCCCCCUUCAGGCCUAGCAGCCAUUGCACGUACAACUAAUAUUAAUCCACACUUAAAGAGAAACAUUAAUGAUAUCCGUUGUUUCAUUUCACAAUCAAACGAGAAAUAAAAACCAAAAUUUAAAUGAAAAAUUAGAACUAUUUUUAGCGGUAAGUAAGGAGCUUUGCUGAACCAUAAUUCGGUCUACUUUAUAUCUAAAACUUUGAUAAUACAUAUACACAUUCUAUAUAUAUAUAUAUAUAUUGCACUAAAUUAUUCUGAAUGCAACAUUAUAAUAAUUGGUGUGACAUUUGCCGAAAUGAAUAAUUAAAUAAAAUAAUUAUAAGGAUGUAUUAGUUAUUUAUAAAAUUAAUUUCUCACUUAAUUAAUUUUUUAAAAUUUACCAAUCAAAUAAGGUAUAUACAAAAUCACUUGUAUGUUUAAAAAUUUCUCUAUUUUCAAAUUUCUUAAUAUUUACAAUUAUUUUUGAUCAAAUCUUAAAAUUAAAUUACGUAUCAUUAAUGUUUGGCCCAUUAAUAGAACGAAAAGUAAGUCUGAUAACAAUUUUGUUUAUAACAACUCUUAGCUAGAAAAUAUUGUUAGUGAAUAAUAUAUAGCCCUGAAUUAUGAGUGAUGUUUAUUGCAUGAGCAACUAAUCCGACACUCAAAAACAACAAACGAAGACCUGUGUAGACAAGUCAAAGACAAAACAAACUUAUAAUGUGUAGUUACUGCAAUUCGAUNNNNNNNNNNNNNNNNNNNNNNNNNNNNNNNNNNNNNNNNNNNNNNNNNNNNNNNNNNNNNNNNNNNNNNNNNNNNNNNNNNNNNNNNNNNNNNNNNNNNNNNNNNNNNNNNNNNNNNNNNNNNNNNNNNNNNNNNNNNNNNNNNNNNNNNNNNNNNNNNNNNNNNNNNNNNNNNNNNNNNNNNNNNNNNNNNNNNNNNNNNNNNNNNNNNNNNNNNNNNNNNNNNNNNNNNNNNNNNNNNNNNNNNNUUUAUGUUAAUAAAGAGGGGGAUUUACAUUAUUGAAAGGAAGAGGGUGAGUCAUCGGUGGAUAAACAAAACUUAGUUGUUGUCCUACUAGGCAUAGAUAGACCUACAAGGCUAUAAGCUGAAUAAGUGAGGAUAAGAUAUGUCUUGGUUAUAACAUGGCAUAAUAUUCCAUAAAAUAGUAUUUAUAUAACUAAUGACAUGUCAAGAAAAAUAAUUAAUAAGGGAUUGUUUGAUAUAGGUAUAUGUCGAUAAACAUAUAAUUCCUCAAUAAAAAACUGAUUAAAGGUCAUAUGAAUAUCCAUUAUAAAAUAUAAUUUGAUUUAAAUUGGAAAAUUUUAAAUUAUCCAUAUACAUCCCCAAACUAAUAUAUUAUGCUUGGUGCCACAUCCAAAGAAGUGGAGGUGCGGGUUCCAAAGAGAGAGAGAGAGAGAAGGGAGCGGGGGGCAAAUUGUCUAGUGGGUGAGGGAAACAAAGGGGGACAAACGCACGCGGUUUGAUACCCAUCUCACCCCCUCUCUUGACUCACUCCGCACCAACCUGCUUGCUUUGCAGACCCAAUAUCUGGAUCACUUCCCUUCGCUACUCGAAAAUGCUAAUAGUCGGAGGGUCAUUCUUCUUAGGGCUCGUGUUUCGUUUGUGAUAUUUCGAAUAUCAUAAUAUCAUGAUAUUAGAUGAGUUUGAUAUUUGACGAAAGUAAUUAGGAAUUUAUAUUUGAUAUGUAAUAUUUGGUGAGAUAUAUUCAAUUACAUUUAUACCCUCACCAAUUAAUUAAUAAUUUCAAACACUCGCUCUUUCUUCUCCAAUUGUUUCUCCUUCACUUUUUAUUUCCAUAACUCAGAAAAAAGACACUGCCUUCAUAAUUAUUAGACUUGGAAGGAAAUUGUUGGGUGAUAUGAUAGAGAAUUAUGAGAACUGAUCAACGCAAGUGAAGUUGAAAAACAGCUGGAGAAGUAUCGGUGGAAUUGUCGGUAGCUCCGGUGGUCGCUCUAGUGGUCGCCGUAUAUGCCGUCGACGCCGGUAUUUCGAACAAAUAGCAACAUCGCCGCUUGAUAGCACGAUUCAAUAGCAGCUGAAUCUGAAUUUCCUUAUCCGACGAGAAAAAGGCCGGAUUCAACCUUCGUCACUACUCUCGUUGGUUUCAAAAUGGAGAUGGAAGAAUUUCUCCUGAAAAAAAAAGAGAAAUGGCAAGGGUUGGGAAGUGAAAUGGGGAAAGUAACAAUUUUGCCCAAAUGACAUUGUAAUAAUGGGGUGUGAACAAGGGCAUUUUUAUAUAAGAGGGUGAUAUCUAUGUGUGAUAUUGAAUAUUCUCCUCUUCGGAGGAUAUUGAAUAUCACAUUUUUGCGAUAUUGAGAUAUCUAAAUAUUGUAAUAUUUGCGCUCUAAAAUACGGAGAUAUUUCAAAUAUGACGAUUUUGAGUGAUAUCAUAAUAGAUAUCACCCAUACCAAACGACCCCUUAGAUCAAUUCGACAACCAAUUUAAUGAUCCAAAAUUAUUUUUGUCAAAUUUAAUAUGAAGAUUGAAAUUUUAUUAUGCGUAUAACCAAAAUUUAAAAAAUAUUCUCUUUUUUUUUUGCUUUUUUUUCUCUCUCUCCCUUCCCUCCCUAUUUUUCUCACGCAAACUGAACAUAAUAAUGAUGUAAUAGUUACGUAACGUGGAUAUAACAAUUUACAUAUGAAGUCGACAUAAUGAGCCUAUUAAACGGACAUAAUAAAAAUGCAUAACAGACUCUUAAAGUGUAUAUAUCACCGACAUAAAAGAGUAGUAAACUGAACAUAACGAUGAUGAAUUCAACUACUCGUAAGGUGGACGUAACAACGACAUAACGAACACGUAAAAUGAUCGUAUUAGCGACAUAACACGCUCGUACAAUGACCACACUCGUAUAAUUGUUUUCUAAAUUAUUUUAUUCUGAAACUACGCCCAUUCAAAUUAAUUCAUUUAAUUCAAUUUUAACUGUUAAAUGAAAGUCGACCUUCUGAUCCAGCGACCCAAAAUAUAUCGAUACAAUCUCUUAGAUCUGGCUCUCCAACCAUUAGCCUGGUUGUCAUUACUAGCCUAGCCUCUUCCUCCGCCUCUUUUUUGUUUCCAUCAUCUCAUCAUCAUAUCUCACCUUUCUCUAGCUAGCUAGCUACUUACUAUAUAAACUCCUCUAAAUCCAUCCUCUCCUUUCAUCAUCAUCUCUCAUUCAUUUCUCUAUUAACCCUUCCAACCCGAAGUACUCACUCACCUCAACUCUGACACUACUGUCCCUCAUAACACACUCUCCCCACAACGUACAGAAUCAUGAAGAUGAUGCAGGGCAGUGGUACUGCAGGAGGGUCAAAGAGAAGAGUAUCUUCUUCAUCUUCUUCUUCAUCAUCAACAACAAGCAAGCUUGGAGCUGCCCUCCGAGAGCAAAGGGCUAGGCUUUACAUCAUCAGGAGAUGUGUUGUUAUGCUCCUCUGCUGGCAUGAUUAGAUUAGAUUAGAUUAGAUUGCUUUCAUUACUCGUUUUCUUUCUUAAAUUUUUCAAUUCCUCAUCACCCACUUCUUCUUCUUUUCUUCCAAUUUUGACCUUAUUUAGCUUAGCAAGGAAAAGAUGGGAUUCCUUUGUUUUUCGUUGGUGUUGACGAGGAAGGAAUAGACUAGUACUCAUGUACAUAGGUUACAAAAGUGAAAGAUGUUUAAUUUAGCCCAGAACAAGAAAAUGAAACUACCAUGAUGUAUACAGAGUUAUAGUAUGAAAAUUAGUUUCAAUAUUUUUGCUCAAUUCUGUGCAUCGAUCCUGUUACUUAGUUCAUGGCUAGCUUACACAAAAACUCAUCAUAAGUAGUGAAAAGAGAUUCAUAACUGGGCCUCCUCGCUCCCAAAGCUUGUGAGCUCAUUGAUUAUGAUGUUGACGACUGCACUGCUGGGAAAUUGUGGUGGUGGAGUCUAAAACUGGUUAUAAUUGGUCGUUUUCCCUUUUGUUUCCUCUGGACUAAAAUGACUACCAAAAGCACAUGGAUGGGAGUGGGGUUUUAGCUAUUCAUGAGUCACACCCACCACUUGUCACGUUGCAUCCAUCAUUCCAAUUAUAGAAAGGCUAAUUUAUCAGAUUUUGAAAGAUGCCCAGAGGAACCCAUUUUCAUGUUGUGGUUAAUUUAUUUGAUGAUUUUCAUUAAGAUAAUAAUGUGUGUGAUGAGGUGACACUAAUCUAAGUGUGUCUUUUUUGAAAGGAAACAGAGGAGGUAGUUGAAGGAAUAAUAAUCUCAUCUGCUUACUAGGGAUGGAUGAUGAUGGUCUAAUCAAACGUUAAUUCCUGCGUUUUAAUGUUUAAGGGUUUGUUUGUUUGUUUCAGAAAAAUCGGGGGCCAAGUAAAACGGAUUACAAAGACGUCUGUGGUCAAAACUGAAAAACAGAGUUUGUGGGCCCAAAUGUGAAAUUAUUAUUGGGUUUAUCACGGCCCACACUCACGUGUGGUUUGUCCAAUGGGCAUUAUCUUUCAUCAUCAUCAAUGCAAGCAAGCAACGUCUUGUUUCCAUCCGGCGACUGUAUGGACAUGCGGUGGAAAUUGCUAAACUGCAGUACGAUAGGUACAGAGGAAAUUUUUUGUGGAGCUGUGAGAUGCGAUGAGAUCGGAAAGAACAUCGAUGGCGAAAGCACUCAGCUAGGCUGCCAUUGACACUCAAACACAAAAGCUAAGGAGCGAAUGAGAUUAGAUAUCCCAAUAGCCCUACCGUGCGUAAACUAUGGAUACUGAGGAUGCGUGUAUUGACCCGUGAAGUGUUAUAGCUAACGUGUUAAGUAUCAUGUUUGGGGAGCCGCACAAUUGGUGGAUCAUGUGGUUUACUUCGAUGUAAAAUAGAGAAUCUUAUUAGACCUUGAUAUGCCGUGAAUUUUCUUAAAAAAGAGGGGUGCCUUUAGGCACACGGAUAUAGGUGGUGCAUGGCGGUUGUUCAGGGUGACAAAUUUAGUUAUAAAUUAGAGUAUUUUUUUAUUUCGGCCUAGUAAUAUUUCAAAUUUGGCCACGUGCUAUUUUCGAUUCUGUAUCCGUCCUUAUAUACACGUGCUAUAAUAAUCGGGUAUAAUAAGAAAAAAUAAAUUCCUACAAAUUAGUUUAGAGGAUAAUCGGGUUCAUUACACAUUUUAAAUGAUUUAUAUGUAUCAUUCAUUGAUGAUUAGUUGUACCUAAAAUUUGAGAAUGGACGAAAAGAUCCUCACAGUGAAGUGAAGUGAGACAACCGUGACCGUGAAAAGACCAAAAAAGACAACAAAAGAAGAAAGCUGUGUGAAAGCCAGUGAGGAGGAGAGCAGCGGAGAACACAGAGCAGACGAAACCCCACAACAAAAGAAAAGAAAGAGGAGAUGAAAAGGCAAAGAAGAAAGAAAUUGAUUGGUAAAAUCAAAUAAAAUCAUAAUCUAAUGAUUGAUAUAAUUUAUGUGGUUGGUGGACAUUUUCACACUAUAACAAAACUCCAAAUAAUUUUUUCUUUCUUUUUUUAAUUUUAUGUAUAUUCUCUUUUAGUUAUCCCUUAAUUUUAGUUUAACCUCUAUAAUUUUAUAUAUUUAUCAAAAUAUAAUUUUUACUUUAUAAAUUAAUUCUAAUUUUUUUUAGUUUAAUGAGAUCAAUUUUGAUAUAUUUUUAUUUAGUUUUUCAAAAAAUGUUAAAAUUAUUAAUGUAGGUGCUGAGUACGUUUUAUGAAANNNUUAACAUACAAUAACUUAGUUAAACUUAUUAUUUUAUGUCAUUUAUAGGAUGCAAUGUUUUUUUUUCCCGGUAAAUCUCAAUUUAUUUCAUCGAAACCGCCAAACAGUCAAAGUUUACAAAGUCAACUCAGACGACUAAGAGGAAGGAGAAAACUAUACAGCUACAGAAUUAAUUACAUUUAAAAGAUAUUCAGUUUAGUAUAGGCAUCUAGGCAGCUUGUAAUGCUACUAUCACCCUUAACUACAAAAAGAUCCCAACAAAUCCGUCGACCCAAUUGAUCACUAUCCAUCUGAAUUCCAGUGAAGAUGCGACGACAUCUCUCCUUCCAAAGAUGACUGCACAGACAUCUCCAGACCAAGUACGCGGCACGAGAAACAGAGGAGGGAUCAGGGAAAUUGCUGAGCAUCCACUCCACUUCAUCCUCCCAAACUCCAGGAGAAGUAUUACCAGGGAACAAUUUACUUCUUAAAUGAGUAGAGUAAGGGCAAGUGAAAAACAAAUGCUCACGAGUCUCAAGACCAACAUCACAGAGACAACAAACAGAAUCAGUAGUGAUACCCCAUUUGAUCAAUUUGUCCUUCAGAGGCAACCUGUCAAACAUAAGCUGCAAGCAGAUAAACGAAUACCUGGGAAUAGAGGGGGGACUCCACACAAGGCGCCACCAGGAAACGCAAGAUCGACGAAUGCGAAUGGCUCUCCAAAUAGUAGAAACCGAGUACUUUUUCGUUACCUUUUCAGCCAAAAGAAAUUUCCUAUCAGCAUUUUGAGUGAUAUGAGGGAUUAAGUACUCCCUGCAGCUCAUAAGACGUUUCCAUACCCAAGAAGAAUUCGCAGGGGCAGAGUGGGUCCAAAUAUCAUUUCCACGUAAACUGUUAUAUUUAUUUUACCUUUAUAUCUAUAGUAUAUAACUGUUAUAUUUAUUUUUUGACACUUAUAUAUAUAUAUAUGUGUGAUAUUUUUAUCUUACCGUUAUACAGUUUUUAUGUCUACUUUACGAAUCUUUAAUAUCAUAAUUAAUUAAUUAUAUCUCCUUUACAAAUAUGUUAUGCCACUAUUAUAUCCUACGAAUCUUUUAUGUUGUUAUGUUAUAAAAUUAUUAUGUACUUUUUUAAGAUUUUAAUCAUUUAUCACUAUUAAAAAACAAAUAUAUAUAACAUAACAAUAUCAACAAAGAUUCAUCAUAAAUCACCACCACACCAAUAUUCAGAACAUUAAAAAAGAACAAUUGAAUUAUAUAUAUAAAAAUAUAUAUUACAUAUGAGUGAUUUAGGGUUACAAUUGUAUAAAUCCUCCACAAUAUCCUAAAACAAAAUUUGGACCUUCAAAAACAAAAAUACCCUUAUACUAAAUCUCAUACACGUUAAAUCUCCUAAAUCAACUCCUGGACAAAUCCCAACCCAAAUAGGUAAGCACAUUACCAUGAACGAUUUUCCCUGCUCAUUGUUUACUACAUUCAUCAAUUUUCAACCACGCAUAAAUACUCUUCCUAACAACAUCGAUAGUUGCAAAGUUUUUUUUGGUUGAAGAUAGACAGUAAUAGUGUUUUUAUGUAGGUGUACUAGAUUCGAAUCUAAAAAUUAUCAGGACAUAACGCAAUCAAUUGUGCUAUUCUACGGGGACAGACAGUACUCAUUUUCAUAUUUAGUAUUUGGGUUGUUCCAUGAGCUUUGGAAUGGCUGCUAAUAUUCGAGUUGUUCCAAGUUCAAGUACCUAGUCUUCAUAACAACAUGCAUUAUUCUCUGGACAGGCCAGUACGUAUAUUCUCACAAGGAACUCUAAAGUUGUUUGCUAGUAAUGAUGAUGGACUCCUUGUACUGUAUCUCAAGAACGAUCAACCAUGUAACAACCNNNNNNNNNNNNNNNNNNGAUGCAACGAACUUAUUCAGGCAGAGUGUAUAUAGUCUGAAAAGGACUGUCAACCUAGCAAGGAGGAAACAAAAGUAAGGGGGGCCUGUUUCCCCACUUCAUUGCUAUAAUAACCAGUUACAUCCGAAACCCAGCCAGGUUGUUGUUACUUGUUAUUGCUUUUAUCUGUAUUGUCUACGUUUUUGGGCAUGGACCCAAUUGAUAAGGAAGAUGAUCUGAUCUGACGAAACAAGUGUGACACCUAUGUCUCAACAAAUUUUUUAUGCUAAUUUCACUAAAACAUGACUUGAUUCCAAAACUGCCAGCUUAAAAGAAGAGGAUGUUCUGGUUCAUGGUCCCCUCCAAUCCAAGCAAAGCAUCAAGACCAGCUUCCCCACGGGCUGUCAUUUGAGAAUGGACAAAUCAAAACUUAUGAAGCUUCGGGAUCUGUUAUGUUCAAUUUCACAACUUUCUGCCAUGUGGUCUCUCUCUCAAUCGCUGUGUACAUGUUACAUGUUACCUUCAGACCUUCACUUGCUUCCCCAACAGCUUGUACUGUACGUAGGGUUACUUGGCUUGUUUUGAGGGUGGGUCUGCAGUCUCCAAUUAUUCUAGCUAUAUGUAGAAGCCACCACUUGCAUUAUCUUAUCCCUUUAAACCCAUGGUGUAGCUAUGGAUUAUGACUUGAUCAUCCACAUGAUUGUCUUACUUCUCUAUAGACAUGAAUAAAGUUAUUCUCUCAUACCCGUUGCAUCAACUCAUAAAUCUCAUACACAACAACAAAGUGUUGGCGAACCCCCUCCUCAUGACAUAAUCAAAUCAACCGUACGAUUGGAGUGAAGCUGCACAUGUACUCUACAAUAAUCUUUCUCCUGAACUAUUUUAAGACCAAUCACAACCACACUUAACUCUACUCAAGUGAUCGAACACACCCAAGCACAUGCUAUAAGCCGUAAGAACACGGCCAUUUGCUUGAUGGAAAGUUCAAACUCAUGCUUUCUUAAGCGUUCAAAUAGACAGUGGCUGCUUUAUAGUAUCCCUCCAUAUAGAAUUAGAUUAAACUCUGAACAUAAACGUUAGGCUACAACAAAAUGGAUGUAUUUCCCUUCCAAGUUACAAAGGAAACAACACCAACCCUCUCCCAGAAAAUACACUUCUCCAAGAAACCAUACCCAGUUCUUAUAGUUGGAGUUUACAAGAGCCUAGCUGAUGAAUCAACAUCCAGUCCAGUAAUUCUUUGGUCUGGUCCGGUCCUCACAAGAAGCUAGUCAUUCGAGUUUACCUCCUCCCCAUGCAAGAAAGCUGUCCUGCGAUCCAAAGUCCUAUACACAACAAUUAACCAAACUCAGACAGACAAAAAAACAUUAUCAACGACUGUGAACAGAUUGCUAAUAGAUACUGUAUGAAUCAACAUACAAUCUGGCUAAGUCUGAACUCUGGAGGUGUAUCGAGUUCUAUAUUAGCAGGGUCAAGGACCAGAGUUUGGCAUUCCUCCAGAUCUUUCUUCAAAUCUGCUGCACCUAGCUUUGCAUACUGGGAAGAAAGAUCAGAUUUCUCAUCUGGGAUUGGAUCUCCAUUCCCAUCUCUACUAGGAGACUGACUCCGAAGGAACUCUUCACACAAUGAUAAUCCUUCAACCAUUUGUUGCGAAUCCAACAAGUUUUGGGACUCGCUAUCCCACCAUUUUGUAUCUUCUGCAACACACUCUUGGUUGUUCUCACAAACCGGCUGAAUCGCAUCUUCUGGACAUUCAAGCUCGGUAUUCUUCAAAGAAACAUAAGGAAAAGGUGAAGAUAUAUCAAUAACUACUCAAGUAAUAAGUAUCAAAUCAGAAAUGUAGUAGAACUAACCUGGACAGGAGGAUCAGCUGCUAUAAUAACAUUGUUAGAGUCUAUCUCCAGGUCAAAAUCAGAGGAAUGCCUUUCAAUGCGAGGAGGGUCAGGUGUGACAGACAUGGGGCUAAUAGGAUCGAUGUUUUCAGGUAACUCUUCUCCAACUUUAUCCCCCUUAUUAGCUUGUUGUUGUUGCUGCUGGUAGAAUAUCUUUGAAACUACAAAUUCCCCAUCUUUCUCGUCUUCACUCGUUCCAAGGUGAUACUGAUGCAUUACCCAGCUAGUUUUCUCUGAUUUACCCAUAUAAAGCACCAUUAUUUUUUUGCAACCUCUCUGCACACCAUCCAAGACCACUGGCUUAGUCCUUCCAGUUUUGUGCCAACGGACAUCGCCAGAAUCAUCACCUUGAAUCUUCCGGCGCUUUCGAGUUCCUGUAUUGUAAGCUUUGAUUGCCCUAUGAAAGAAGUGGCAAGAAUUUCCAUCUUGUUUAACACCUGAAGGGACCAGAAAACAGUGAAGCUUAAACAAAGUGUAACUGAAUGUCUAUCGAUAUUCAUGAAAGUUAAACUCUUUAGUUUACCAACCAGGAAGAUUCUUGGGAUGAGUAUAACAGAUUCCAUCACCAUUAUCAACAGUUGGUACAAACUCUUCAAUGAACGGGUGGGGUUUUUGACCGCCAAAUCCAUUUUUCGCAAGUAAAUGCCAAAUAAUUUCCGGGUUAGUUGGAUCAAACUUUACCCCCCUGGGCAACCCCGGCCAUGCUUGGACAGCCUGUAUCAAAAAGAGUGAUCUUGCUCAAUAAGGAUGAUCAAUUUUCCAAACCUAAACCAUAAACCAUUGCAUGUACAAACAUUUUUUGUCACGGUACAUUGUUGAAAUUUGCAUAAAAGUAAUUGGAAGAAGUGAGAGAAGCUUUACAUCACUGUUGUCGAUAAUGUGCUGGCAAUUUGGACAAGCUUUAGUUGGAUUGCUCUCCCAUUUCACCCUUUCAGGAUCAGAUGCACUCUUGAUUUUAGUUGCUAUUCUGUUACCAUCCACCAGCCACGAUGCACUGCACAGAUCAUAAGCCGAUUAGCCUAAAAUGGUCAGUUCUUGCCAGGAAAUGGUAAGAGUACAACAAUUAUCCGGAAAGGAUAACAGCAAAGUAAACUAAGAAGUAUUACAGCAGAGCAACUUCUCCACAUGUUAAGAAAAUAGCGGACACAAACCUCAGGAAAUAAAAUAUAAGCAACUCCUAAGUUCUCAUGGCUUGCGGAAUUCACAUUGUAAUCGUCCUUUUACUUAACAAGCAUCGUUGUUUCCAUAAAUGUUUGACAAUCAUAGUUUUAACUUUGAUAUUACUGUCAAUUCAAGAGGCUGGGAAGAGGAGCUGUCGUGACGUGAGUCAUCAUGCAUAGAAGCCUAAUACUAAGUGAAACCGCACAAGAGUUUAUCUUUGCAUCAGCAAUCAAACUUAGAUGCAACGUGAAGCCUGCGGAUAGAAUGCCCUACUUCAAGUGACCAUUUGCGCAAAAUCACUAAAGUAAGCAGAAACCAAGCAACAAUCCCAACACUAACAGCAGACAACCUACAUAUCAGGGUUUACUUUAGACCAACAAAGGGUCUAGGGUGGGCAUGAAUGAACUUUGAGAACUUUUGAGCCGCAUCAUGAAAGGAAGGGUUCCGCAAGUAGAACAAAACGAUUAGCACCAACAUAAAAGCCGUAGCUUUUCUCCUACAGAUAUAGACAAACUCUAAGAAUAACAAGUAGACUAAAGGUCAAAGGACAUCAUUCGCACUUCAGACAAUAGGGUGAAGACAUAUGAGAUCACAUUUCUCCCCCAAACUGUAUUAUUUAGGGCUCCAGCAACCGAUAUAAUAGACUCCCUAAUAACUACUCACACCUCACCACAAACAAUGAAGAAACCCCAACUUAAAUUUCCUACAGAUCAGAAAUUGCUAGAAUCAAGUGAUGAACUGCUUGCUAAACAUGGUGCAAAAGGAAACCCAAAUUAUAUUAGAGGCCAGGCAUUCAGAAACAAAUCAAUACCAUGUAACAAACCCAAGAGUCAGCGAAAUGAAGCAAAACAUUUGCAAGCAGCAGAAAGAAAGCCCACAAUACUGAAAGGCAAUGUAAUUUUUGGCUCGAUCACAGUCCAACAAUGGAAGAGGCAAGAAGCAGGAGAGGGAACUGGUUACCGAGACAUGAAAAGGGCGGAGCUUUGACCGAAAGGUCAAAUCUUUGAUGACCGGUCGACAAUAUAUAGGGAAAAUCCCCUUCCAACAAUCCUGUAUCUCUACUGGGUUCUCGGAUAUUCGAUGCCGCGAUUGCGAAGCUGUCUACGAGCAGUAGUUUAACGGGAAACUUUAUUGGGUGGCGGAGUUGAGAUGAUGGGGGACAUUGGAGCACUUGAAGACUCGAAGUGAAGUGGAGGGAAUUCCUUUUUUGUCUUUUGUUUGUUCUUUUUCCGGUGCUUUAUUGUUUUUAGUCCAAAAGAAUUGACGCGCCAUUUCAAUAAUUGGUGGGAGUAAUUGCGUAGCCUGUGAAGUCCAAAGCCUUUUAUCCAAUCAACAACAUAAAAAGUCCAAUGCAGUCCCCCCCAAAGGGCCAUGUCCACCAUUGUUGCCCAUAUAGGCAAGUGAUUUGCGUCUUGUGAUAAAUCCAUAGAUGUAGCAAUAUAUUCAUAAUCAUUCAUGGCAAAUUGUGAAUGGGUUGGCUCUUGGGCAGUACGUAGACUAUUUGGUGGACAAGAACAUAUACAAAAAACUUAACUAUCCAUAAUCGGGAGUAAUCAUGCAAAUAAUUAGCAAUUCUUCUCCAGUUUAUUAUUACACUGUAACGCAUUACCCAUUACACUACAUAACGCUCGACUUUAGGCAAUUUAACAUAUGAGACUAACUUUUCAUUAAUUUUCCCGUUACAUUAUUGCCGGAAAGUAUACAAUCAGUAUGACAUGUUAGUAUGUCAUAUAGUGACAUUACAUGACUACUGACUUUCGAUUAGAUACCAUUCAUAAAUUAAUAAAAUAUAUUUACAAAUGGCUCAUUAACUCAGUUGAUUAGAAUGUUGUGCUAAUAACGCCAAAUUCAUAGAUUUGAGACCGGCCAUCUUUAUUUUAUACUUUAGGUUUUCACUUCCAUAAUCAAUGCUUGUAAUUAGGGUUUUAAGGCACUUAUUGGGUUAUUUCUUAAGACACAUGUUUGACAUGCCUUAAAUUUUAGGUUUUCGAUUCCGUAAUUUAUGUCUUGUAAUCGAUGUGUUUGAAAUUCUUGUUGGGUUAUUUUUCCUAAGGCACAUGUUUGGCAUGUCUUAUAAUGACGACACAUGAUUAUUGACUCAUCGAUUGAAGAUAUCUGAUGUUCAUUCUGAUUUUAAACUUUAACAUGCACAAGGCUUAGUCUAAAACCUAAACAUUUGUCGGAACAAAAUAAUGUACCCUCAGGUACAUACUUUUUGUAACAGGGUAGACAUACUUAUUGUACACAUUUUCACAUUCUUGUACACGUCUAUGUACGUACUACAUGUCAAACAAAUACGUGCAUGCUCAUACAUUUACAUAAAUUUUCUAGAUAAGUACACACCUAUUUACACACUUUUUCUAAACGAGUACACGAAAUUUGAUGGGCAAUGGAGGAGGUCCAACGACCGACAAGGGGACAAUGGAUUAUGGAAUGUAGCUGAGUUUAGAAUGGUGUUAUGUUGUCCUUUCAAUUUAAAUUGUUAAAUAAAAUUGAUUAGAUAACAAAUUUUAUCUAAUAUCAUCGAAUAAUUUCAAUUUUAAUGUCAAACUGAACUUGUUUAUCGCUCUCAUUUCACAAGAAAAACGGGGAAAACGGGAACCUAAACGAGGGUGGCAGGCCAGAUAGAAUUGUUCAUUCCCUUGUACCUACCACUAGUCAUGAGACCUUGUAAAAGGCAAACAUACUUUACUUGCAUUUUACCAUUAUGAUAAGAUUACAGGGACUAAUCUCACAAUUCUUUAUAGUUUACGAUGAAAUGCAAUGGAAAAUGCUAUUGAUUCGAGAGUUCUUUUUUAGAUUAAUCUAACUGUUUAUCCUCGAUUUAAAAUUAUUUUUGUCAAUUUUAAUUUGACAAUUGGAAUUUUAUUAGGGGUAUAACGGAAAUUUAAAAUAUUCUAUCUCUUUUAAUUUUUCUUUCUCUCUCCUCUCUCUACUCUUCUCACGUAAAUUGGAUAUAAUAAUGAUGUAAUAAUGAGUAACGUGGAUAUAAAAAUUUACAUAUGAAGUCGACAUAAUAAACCUAUUAAAAGGACAUAAUAAAAACGCAUAAGAGACUCGUAAAGUGUAUAUAUCACCGACAAAAAAGAGUGGUAAACCGGACAUAACAGUGAUGAAUUCAACUACUCGUAAGGUGGACGUAACAAUGACAUAACGAGCCUGUAAAAUGGUCGUACAAUGACCACACUUAUGUGAUUUUUUCAUAUUUUUUUGUUUCCAAACUACCUCCAUCAUUUUCAGCCGUUGGAUGAAAGCUGGCCCAAAAAUGACAUUGAUUCAACAAUUACGAUUUAUUAGAUUAACGUGACAGAAAUGUCUCUCAUAUCAAUAACCGCCUUGAUGAAACAGUAUAGGACCCUUGAAGAGGGACAACUAACCAAAGUGUUCAUCAUUCAUUUGAGAUCUUUGCUAGCUAGAUUUUUCUUGCAAGAGCAACAAAAGGCCAGACAGAAUGUACAGAUAAUGUCCACAGAAAAGAAGGCAUAACUUUUGGUCAUAUGGACUCGUAAAAGCCAACAUCAACAGAUGCAGCAGCAGAUGGGUUUUAUGGAAAAUUGUGAAAACGACAAUUCAUUCUAUAAAGGGUAUAUGCAUACAUCCAUAUAGCCUAGGGAUGGAUAGAAAAGCAAUGGAAUUCCUUGGUGUGACCAUGAUAAUACAUUGAGAUGAGUAGUAAAGGUUGAGGAGGGGGGAAUCUAUUUAGCUUUCAGAAGACCCCUCUUUUGCCGACACUUGUGUCAAAAAGUGAUGCUGCUCCGUCGCCGGCCGGUUUCUGCUCUGCUGCUAUGCGAACAUCAACUGCUAGAGAAGAAAAGCAGAGACGAAUCUUUAUAGCUAGCAUUAGCAUACAUGUGACCUUCUUACUUUUGCCAAUUGGGAGGGAGUUCAAAUGGAACCCCCCACCCAACAAUUGGUUUUUCAAGGGUGUUCCGUGACCACUGACUAGACCCUACUGGAAAUUGCAUUAUCAUUCUGGAAUAUUAAGAAUACUAACUUUGACUAUCAGUGUAGCAACCAGCUGAGCAACAAGGUUGGAUGGAGUGUUACAAUGAAUCCAAUUUGUCCGAAGCGUGUCUGUCCUAACGCCUCUAACAAUGUAGUCAGCGGCUCUAUUCAAUCUACGGAAAAUAUAAGAUAAGGAAAAAGCUAUGCAUAACAUUGUUAAGACCAUAUACCCUCGUCUCCUCUGAGGGUGUAGCAACACGAGACUAUAUGAUGUGAACCACGCCUUGAAUUGCGACUAAACCCAACAACAGUUUUGACACGAAACAUUUGAACUCGAAAUCUUCGAUAAGGGGCGGAAGCAAGAUAGAUAACCGGCCACGAACGAGAGUGAAUAUCUCGUCGAUACAAUUAGCGGUCUUCCAAGCAUGAAUCGGCACGCACUUAAACCAAUCAAUGAUCCUCCAAGUACAAAUCACCACGCACUCAAACAAAUCAAACGAGUAUAAAACUCAAACUCACAAACUCAAUUUUAUUCAUCUCAAUUGUCUAUCGAAUACAAUAACAACCAAACCUUUAUAUAGGCUUUGCAAACUUAACCCUUAAGUACAAUAAUAAUAAAUUAAUCCUUAAUUCUACAUAGAAACUUAAAUACUACUAAAUAAGCAUAUUUUAGUAUUCAACCCGUCCACUUUAAUUGAGAAUAUCUCAUUAUAUUCUUGGAAAUGAUGGCUCAUAAUAUAUGGAUGAAAAGGUAAUUGAAUUAUCUUUCCAACACUGUUGACCUUGUACCAAUUGAAGUCCUGACGAGAAAGUAAUGACCGAAAUACUAAACUGGACAGAAACUACACGGAUUUCUAUCAUGCCCUCCUUCUUAACAAUUCCAUUCGACCCUCCCAUAUCGAAAACAAGAUUGACGAAACCUCCAAUCUAUGCCUAUGAGCUUGCUCAUUGAUGAUCUUCCGUCGAAUAUCCCACACAACCUUCCAUUCAAUGUUCUUGGCAACCUCUUCUUAAACCAACAUCAUAAAUUUCUCAACCGUGAAAUUUUCAACAAUCUUCAAAUACAUAAUCCUCCAAAGGGGUUAUGGAGCUUUGGAUUGACUUCAGCAACGUUCGUUCCCUCCGGCCAGAUUUCUUUUUAGUACUUUAUAUUUUUCUCAAUUCCUAAUUUUUCGAGUCGCUUUCGUUUUUGUUUUUAGUGUCUUUUGUCGUUUUUGUUUGCCUUUUCGUUCUAAUUGUUAAUUCCGUGUCUAUGGCUUUAAAAGGGUUGUUAGGAGUUUAAGGAUGCGAAUUACAGUAACUAAUAAGGUUAAUUUCUCCUCCCUUGUUACCCGUUUGUGGGUAGCAUCUCUUAGAUUACCAGCUCAUAUGUUCUACGAAAACUGUUGCUAUCACUAGAUCACCGAUAUACUUGGCAGUUGCCACUCGAUUGAGUAUUGAUUUAUAAAUCUUAAUUGAUGUCAAAGAGUCUAUUUCACUAUUAUUCUUUAUCUUAUUUAUUACACAUAAGAAUAUAAGAUUUUACAAUAUAAAUUUAUAAUUAUUAUUCUACCCUAAUUGUUAAUUUCGUGUACGAUUUUGGCUGCCUUGCCAACAAGUCUCUUACGCAAAUAAUACAUCACAAUUUUUACUGAAUCGUAGCUUCCGGGGUUUGGGCCUGCCCGCCCCUAAGAUUGUUGUAAUAGGCCCAUAAAAGACUGUUGUUAUAGAAAGCCAAACUCCGGUUCAAAACGCACAGACAAUAGGUAUACGAAUGGAAUCCGUAUUGGUGAAGGAGAAGGAAGAAGUGGAAAACGUCAUGCUAGAGUGGGAUUGAUGUUAUAAUCCACUAACAGUAACACACACCAGAAUACAAAAGGUAGAGCAGACAUUCUUGUGGUGUCGUGUGGACAUAUAUAGUGGGGGGAGGGGAGGGGCUGUGGGCGGCUAUGGCUAUCAUCAAGGAGAAGUUUAGAAUGGAGAAGAAAAGAGUUUGGAUUUGAAAAGCAAGCAAAAGGAAGGAAAUGCGCCAACUGGGGGACCAAAAAGCAGCCAUGCGUGUGACCACAAAGUGUCCAAAAAGACAACCAGUACAACUCACUGCCAAAUCCAAUCGAUCCCUCCAAUAUUCACAUUUCUACCAACCAUAUGUGCACCAAUUAGUCAAGCUAAAAACCUUAAUGGGUUACAAGCAUUGACUGUCCACUGUCGAGCUAUCUAGCGGAAAUUGUAGGGCGAGGGGUUUGAAGUGGAGAUGUGAAGAAGCAUCAUGAUUUCAUGUCCUCCGUUGAAAACACAAAUUCAAGACAUCCAGACGACAACGAUAGGAAGGAUGGAUAUACAAUUGCCCCACACAAGUGUGAUUGUAUGUCCAUAUGUUUAAGUAAUGAUAUCAGUAAUGGUGUUUAUAUAUGUGGAGGCAUACAUUAUUACCAAUUGAUUAUGGGUUUUGUGACUGGACCCAAGAACUAAUAACGGAUUAAGUCCAACUGCCUCACGUCAAGAGUUCAGAAAGGAUCCGUCGACCAGAUCAUGAAAAGAAAAUUUAUUCUCCUUCAUGAUAGGACGGACACUAUUCACCUAUUCAUUAUAAACUUCAAAAAAGCAAACCCGGGUGUAAACAGAGAUGAUAAAAUUACUUAUAAUUUAACGUAAUUACUUAUUAUAUAUACUACUAACUAAUUACUAAACGCACUUCAUGAAAGAAUCAUUAUAUUGCUAGAGCCGGAGCAUGAGUACUGUGUAGUGCUGCGCCCACUCCUAGCUAGCUGGCGUUGAUUAGGCGUACGUACCAGAGUUUAAUUUAUGUACAGAUAAGAUUAAUAAAUUGAUGAACAGUUGAUUAUAAAUAUAUUUUAUUUAAUGAUAUGAACCAUGUCAAAAUGGUGAUAAAAAUCCGAUAAUUAUGUGUGGUACUAAAGAGAAAUAUUCUGAUGUCAACCUUUUAAAUUAACGUAUCUUCUUUGCAUUUUCAAAUUUACUAUCCAUAAAACCAUCUUUAAUGCAUAAUUUUAACGCUCUUUUAAUGUACAAAACUAAAAUUUGGUUUAAAUUUUUUUAUUUUGAAUCAUAUAUUUAGCUAAUUUAAAUCUCAAAUGAGCAAAUCAUAAUUUUUGCUAUUAGCUAUUGGUCGACACAUUUUCUUUUUAUUUAUUGUUCACAAAACGAUAAAUAGUGAAAUCACAACACAACAAAUGCUAAAUCGCCUCACGUGGAUAGAGCUACGCCCAAACCUUUUUGUACCCCUUUUUCUAAAACAAAUUAUAAACUUAUUACAACAGCUCUUAAUUUAGCCAUGCAUGUUGAUCGAACAAAUCCUUAAAUUCAUCAAAUACUCUACCAACAACUACCAUAAAAAAUCACAAAACAAGCCUUUUACACCUGCUUAGGAUUAAACAUACCCGCUUUCUAUUAUUUAAUUUGAAGCAAGAGGAUGCUAGAUACUGGUUUCAUUCUAGUAUGAGAGAGAGAGAGAGAGAGAGAGGUGAUGUUGCAAGACAGAAUGAUUACAUAUGGUGUUGAGAGGAGCAGAAAGGUUGGCGUGGAUGCAAACCCACCCCCAUAGGCCUGAGCCUGCAGACUCUCAUAGAGAGAGAGAGAUGAGAAUUGAGAGGUGGGGGCUUGCGUUUGACCACCCUAGCUAGGCACACCAUUUACAUUAUUAUAUUAUUAUAAUUAUUGAAGGAAACAGAGAAUGAUAAAGCUUGACCAGUAGUAGGAUUAAAAAGAAGGAUGAAUGAAGUCAUGAACCCUAGGUUGAGCAUUACCAAAACAAAAAAUCUAUGAACUGAUAUGCUUGGAACUGGAAGGUCUUACAUUUAUUAGCAGUUAGUAAUCUUAAGACUUUGGAAUAAUGCAGUAGUAAUUAGCAGUUAAUUGCAGUUGGUGGGUGGAGAAAGAGUGAUGAGCAAGGUGUAAUGUGCGGUGGUGGUGACUGCCUGCUUUGUGUUUUGUGUCAACACUCAACACCGCCCCACUAGGGCAUGCAUGUCAUGUCAUUAAGUACUCCAAUUCCAACAUUCGACCUUUGGUUUCCUUUUAAGUCCAAGGUAUAUAUCAGAGACGUCGACCCAGCAGAAUAUUAUCUCAGGACUCAUCAUCAUCAUCAUCAUUUAACUGUUCAACAUUUCGGACAUAGGUGGGAUUUGAAUUGGAGGAUAUAAAGGGACAGAGCAGCAGAAGCAACCUCCCCCAUCGCAAUCCACCUCUCUCUCUCUCUCCCUCCCAAUUCCUAAAUCCCAAAAAACG